GAUGAACGCUGGCGGCGUGCCUAAUACAUGCAAGUCGAGCGAACAGACGAGGAGCUUGCUCCUUUGACGUUAGCGGCGGACGGGUGAGUAACACGUAGGUAACCUACCUAUAAGACUGGGAUAACUUCGGGAAACCGGAGCUAAUACCGGAUAAUAUUUCGAACCGCAUGGUUCGAUAGUGAAAGAUGGCUUUGCUAUCACUUAUAGAUGGACCUGCGCCGUAUUAGCUAGUUGGUAAGGUAACGGCUUACCAAGGCAACGAUACGUAGCCGACCUGAGAGGGUGAUCGGCCACACUGGAACUGAGACACGGUCCAGACUCCUACGGGUGGCAGCAGUAGGGAAUCUUCCGCAAUGGGCGAAAGCCUGACGGAGCAACGCCGCGUGAGUGAUGAAGGUCUUCGGAUCGUAAAACUCUGUUAUUAGGGAAGAACAAACGUGUAAGUAACUGUGCACGUCUUGACGGUACCUAAUCAGAAAGCCACGGCUAACUACGUG
rnacentral:rRNA from 1 species